UGCCUAGCAACUCCUAUCCCUACCUCCUCGUGGUGCUGGCCGGGAUACGAGUAACCUUAGGGUAGAUCGGGUAACCAACGACGGUAGGAACUUUGGUCAUUUGCUGACAGGGAAGG
rnacentral:ribozyme from 1 species